ensembl:lncRNA LINC01980 long intergenic non-protein coding RNA 1980
GGGUUCAUCUUCAUGAGGUGUAAUGGCGCCGGGAUGCGCUCUCCUCUUCUCAUUUGCCAAUUUAUUGCAGAUCCCUCCUCAAAAAAGUUUUGGGACUAACUCAGCCCCAUGGAGAUCAAGGUGAAUUAGAAAAACAACAAAACAAAACAAGAUUCAUUUUAACAUCUCAUUUUUCUAUCUCCAACUUUCCCUCCCCUCCUCCCACCCCAGGAAGAAAAGACUACGUUUGUUUCUGGUGAUACAUUCAUUGUAGGUGGGUGGGUGACUUCUAGAAGAGGAAAAUCAAGAAGAUUUGGAGAAGGAGUCUUGGAAGCUCUGGUGAAGUUUUCCAAAACUGGGAAGGACAGAGCCACAGGUCUGCCUGUUCUUUUGCUUUGCCAUUUGUGUGGAUACCUAGUAGAGCAAUUUGGGUGCCAUUCUUUGAGGAAUCCAUUGGAUCUGUCAGAAAGCUGAGUCUGCUCAGCCUGUGUUAGUGGAGAAGAGGGAAGGAAACUGGCUGGAGGCCGCUGGACCCACAGAGGACAAUAGACAAUCUCCUGCUUGGAAGAAAAAGAAAAUGAGACCCAGAAGACCCAAAUCACAAAUCAAAAGGACCUCACAGAAGAUUCUACAAUUGAGAUUAUUUAUCCUGGCUAAGAAGGAAUCAGUGGCCUUAAGAAGACAAUCUUGAAAAAGGACCUAAGUGAUGGAUGCCCACUGGAUCCAAAGAGAGAAACUCUAUAGAAUUAUGAUCUAGGUUUGACUGACUCCUGGCAAGAAGCCCUACCCGCCAGCCAAUUUGGAUGAGAUGCCAUCAGCGACCUGCCCGUAUCGCCUUGCCCCACCGAGAAGUCAGGCCACAGACAGUUCCUGUAUAUAGCAGUGCUUCUUUUGGCUUCUGUCUGUCACAGGGGUCAUCCAUCUUUCCUUCUAUGUGACUGGUUUGCUCUUGCAUAUCAUGUUUUCCGCUCUUAUGCUCCAGAUCCAUCAUGAGAAGAACAUGCCCUGGAUUCCUGCUAUCCCUUUAGCCAUGGCUCCAAAAUUAACACACACAAGGAAGACCUGAGGUCAAUCCACAGCCUGGAUUCAAGUCACCUAAUACAUAGGAGAAUCAGAGCUACCCAGCCACACUCAAUCUACGUUAACUGAACCUCAGCUGACCUGCAGAUUUAUGAGUAUGAGAAUAAAGGCUUGUUAAUGUAUAUCAUUAA